GCGGGAAUGGUGGAAUGGUAGACACACUUGAUUUAGGAUCAAGGCGUUGAGGGUUCGAAUCCCUCUUCCCGUA
rnacentral:tRNA from 1 species